UACGAAGGGGGCUAGCGUUGCUCGGAAUUACUGGGCGUAAAGGGCGCGUAGGCGGAUGUUUAAGUCGGGGGUGAAAGCCCGGGGCUCAACCUCGGAAUUGCCUUCGAUACUGGACAUCUUGAGUACGGGAGAGGUGAGUGGAACUCCGAGUGUAGAGGUGAAAUUCGUAGAUAUUCGGAAGAACACCAGUGGCGAAGGCGACUCACUGGCCCGUUACUGACGCUGAGGCGCGAAAGCGUGGGGAGCAGACAGG
rnacentral:rRNA from 1 species